GCCUACGGCCAUACCACCCUGAGAACACCCGAUCUCGUCUGAUCUCGGAAGCUAAGCAGGGUCGGGCCUGAUUAGUACUCGGAUGGGAGACCGCCUGGGAAUACCAGGUGCUGUAAACU
rnacentral:rRNA from 1 species